rnacentral:rRNA from 1 species
AGUGGCGGACGGGUGAGUAACGCGUGAGAAUCUGCCUUGGGGUCGGGGACAACCACUGGAAACGGUGGCUAAUACCGGAUAAGCCGAUUGGUGAAAGAUUUAUUGCCCGAAGAGGAGCUCGCGUCUGAUUAGCUAGUUGGUGAGGUAAGAGCUCACCAAGGCAGCGAUCAGUAGCUGGUCUGAGAGGACGAUCAGCCACACUGGGACUGAGACACGGCCCAGACUCCUACGGGAGGCAGCAGUGGGGAAUUUUCCGCAAUGGGCGAAAGCCUGACGGAGCAAGACCGCGUGAGGGAGGAAGGCUCUUGGGUUGUAAACCUCUUUUCUCAGGGAAGAAUCUCUGACGGUACCUGAGGAAUCAGCCUCGGCUAACUCCGUGCCAGCAGCCGCGGUAAUACGGAGGAGGCAAGCGUUAUCCGGAAUUAUUGGGCGUAAAGCGUCCGCAGGUGGCGAUUCAAGUCUGCUGUCAAAGCACAGGGCUUAACUCCGUAAAGGCAGUGGAAACUGAAUAGCUAGAGUGCCGUAGGGGUAGAGGGAAUUCCCGGUGUAGCGGUGAAAUGCGUAGAGAUCGGGAAGAACAUCGGUGGCGAAAGCGCUCUACUGGACGGCAACUGACACUCAGGGACGAAAGCUAGGGGAGCGAAUGGGAUUAGAUACCCC